AUCCAGUUGACGAGUCCCCAAAACAGGACGAAACUCACGUCUUGGAU
rnacentral:hammerhead_ribozyme from 1 species